rnacentral:lncRNA from 1 species
UUCACUUCACAAUUUUAGGAUUUUUGUCGCCGUCUCUGCAUUUGCAGAUAACCGACGAUCGACUCACAUUUUCCGGCUACUUUAUCUUCAGAGUUUAAAUGGUUGAUCAACGUCUUCUCAAGAGCUGUGUCAUUUAAUUUUUACUUCAUUUUUCGCAUUCAUUAGGGGAGAGUGUGAAUAUUUCUACAGCACAAUAGAAGGAGACUAUCUAGUUAGGAGUUAGACUAGGAAUAUCAUUGGUCAUCUAUUGAUGCAGGCCUUUACCUUCUAGUGGUACUAUACCAGCCAUCUAUUUUGUAUCCUGUAUUUCAUAUCUCUUAUAUAUUGUUGUUAUUUUUAUUACGCAUUUUUAUGGUACUAAUAUAUCAUCUCCUAUUGCUUUUUUGAGCCGAAGGUCUCCUGGAAACAGCCUAUCUACCCUUCGGGGUAGGGGUAAGGUCUGCGUACAUAUUACCCUCCCCAGACCCCACUUGUGGGAUUACACUGGGUCGUUGUUGUUGUUGUUGUUUUCGCAUUGAACCGUUUGUCAUCCGAAAUUCGCUGAUUUUUAUUCUUUCUUUUCUUCACCUUUCAAUUGGUAUAGGGUUGCAUGAGGUUGAAAAUCCAGUUAAGAGGUAAUUUGUACUACCUUCUCCUGUUUUAUUCAUGUAAUUAAACUGUUCUUAUUUUGAAUCGUCUAUUUUUAGUUUGAUUUUAGGAACAAAAUACACUAAAGAUAGAAGUGAAUCGAAGCAGACAUUAUAUCUAUAUAUUAUGCAUUUGCUUUCUUCAUAAACUAAUACAUGAAUUCACAACUUAUGCUUUCACAUUUAGUGGAGAACUUGUGAUGUUAUUGAGUAUUGGCUGCAAAUUUGUUCUCACUGUAGCUUCAAGUUCUUCAGAAGCCUGUUCAAUACGAAAUAGGCAUGUAAAAAAAUUGAUCAAUGAUGAGGAAAUAACCAUUGUUUAUUUGUCUGAGAAACAAAUACUAUUUUGCUUAUAAAGAAAGUUUGAAAUUCAGCAAAACAUUAUCAAUUUGAGUUCAGAGAUUCGUCCAACUUUAUCAGAAGUAACUCUUAAUAGUCCUCUUUUUGCUUAUAUUCUUAGUGCUGCUGACACAGAGGGGUUUUUCUUUCAAGUGUAAGUGCUGCUGAAAUUAUCUUCUUGAUAAGUGACUAAUUGGGAUUGCUGAAGGGUUAUUGAGGAAUGUGAGGAGCUCAUAAAAUAUUUGUUGCAUCAUGUGAUGAUAUGUAUGAUCAGCACUAGAAACAAUUGUUAAACAAUUGUAUUUUGUAUAAUGAGGUGGUAGGGGAUCGAGAUGUAGGACUUGUGCACGUGAUCUAAACAAGUAGGAUUAUAUUUCAUUAUUUAGAAGCUUAAUUAAUAGGUAAAUGUGCAGACAUCUCUGGAACUUUCCACUUGCAAAAAGUUGAAGCUUUAAGCAUUUAUUCUUUAGAAUAUAGGGGUCAAUUAUUUUUUUUAUUUUUUUUGUAUAGCAAGGAGAGUGACUAGCCUUUGACUUAAAGUUACUAAAAAUGGAAAGGUGGUUAAUAAGCAGUACCAGAAAUAGGAGAAUAACAACAUAUGGAAUCUAUACAGGGUAUGUCAAUUAUCAAAGUUACCAAGUUUUACAUACUUUGUUUUGUUAACAAGCUUAAAAGAUAACGUUUUGAUGGUGUUUUCUUAAAUCAUUCGUUGUGAAAAUUAAUGAUUGGCAGAUAUAACAAAAUGCUUAGCCUUAAAAAUACAGAAUGUAUCAUUGACUUUUAUGUAGAUGAAAAGAUUAGUUUGGCUGUGUGGAGAGUAGAGAUUUGCUAUACCUUUGUUCAUUGGCAUAACCUCUGCUAUUGCUUCCAACGGCUUUGUAAUUGGGCAAAGGUACUUGGCCAUUUUCAAUUUGCAUGAUAUCCUUCAAAAGCAACUCAUAAUGUCUCCUCACUUCCUCUGCUGAUUUUCCACCUACACACCUGGCAAUGUUAUGCCAGCGGUCAGGAGUUUCCUUGUCAAAUAAAGCCAACGCCUCCUCAAACUUCUUGUUUUGCCUUGUAGUCCAUGAGGCCAUUAUUGAUUAAUAGGGAUAGAGGGUUGAGAGCUACCUCAGGCAAAGUCAAGUGUUCAAGUGAAUGGUAUGGACAAGAUAAUGCUAAGCUAGCUAGUUCCUUAUAAGCUGGGGGAGUGGUCUUGGUUUCUGGCAAGUUGGCGAAUAUUUCGUUUUCUUUUAGGGAGGUGGAAUACAUGGUUAUUGAAGUAAUGCUAAUGGGAAUAGGUGGAAGGAGAAUAAGGAAAUAGUAUUUGUGACUUUGCUUGCUUUAUUUGGAAAGUAAUGUCAUCAGCAAGUGGAUCAGAUAAGAAAUUCACCCAGCUGGAGGAGAUUAGAUCCCCUAAUUCCAAUUCUAUGGCUAUGAUAGACGCGCCAAUGUUUUAUAAUAUUUAGGCUGAAAAAUAAUUAUCAAGAUAUUUUGCCAGCUUCUAGGUUGCAAAAUGUUGCUUAAAUUCUGCAUCAAUUGGUAAACCAUUUGUCAUCCUUCAAUUGUUAUCUGCCAGUCAUUUGUUGACAAUGCGUGCAUUAACCUAAGCAUUGUUGAUCUUUAUGUUUUGAUGAUAACGAAUUAUGAACAAAGUGAAAAGAGCUUAAAAUAACUCAAUUUCAUUGUUCUUUAAGUUUUAUCAUCUUACAUUUGAAUGGUUAUAACUAUUAGGUUGCUUAUAGCUGUAUCAAAUUAUGAUCCCGAGUUGCAAGUUGGAACAGGCAAGUGACUGCUGCUUAUGUUUAUUCUCUCUAGGAAUGGAGUCACCCUGUGCGUAUUUCUAUUACCGCUUCUACAGAAUUCCCUCCUUUUGUUUUUUAAGAUAUGGUGUAGGUAUGCAUUGCUUCUUACUAAUGUUUCUUGUUAUGUUAGUUUCUGCCAUAACGGCCUUUCCAGUUUGGAUCACAUUGAGGCGUUUGUCAUUCUUAGAUGAAUUACUUUUGAGUCAAAGUAAUAGUUCUCAAAAAGACUCUCAAAAUUACCAAAAAGGGAAGAAUUGUCCCUUUUAGACCACUUGCUUUGAGACCUUUUUCACUUGAGAUACUGUCUGCCAACAUGGGAGAGGAGGUGAAGGGACACCUUUUGUCAAAAUACUGCAGUAGGAAUCUAUGUUAUUAUACAACAAAGUAUCUGAUGUUUAAGUAUCUCAUGUAAAUACGGCUGGAGCCUCCUUGUGGUUUUGAAAACAAUGUGUUUCCCCAUAACUCUCUGAGUAUUCUGUUUUCCUCUAAAACCUUGAUUUAAAUGUCCAAAAU